UUAUGCUUCUGUUUAUUUGUGUCGUGUGUCCCAGACUAAGCACUAAAGACCACAAUUCAGAAAUGCCAACAGGUAUAGACAAAAACAGCCCAACAAAAGCCUGCUCUUUCAGCCCAAGCACCAGGUAGGACGGCAGCAACAGGGAAACAGCAAACACUUGUGGGUCCCAGCUCCACCCACUGUGAGGUCACAGCGCAAACCAGGGACACCCAGCCCCACCCUAUCAGGGAGCAAAGGCAGAGAGCCUGCAUUCCAGCCCCACCCAGCAGCAGGUUCUCUGGGGCCUCUGGGGAGCUCUCACCACAGCAGUAACAAGGAGCCCCUCCCAGGCAUCCUCGGCCCAUCCUUGAGAGGAAGCCUGGCCUGCUCUGCCCACAGACCUAGGAAAGAUCAUGUCUCCCCACUCCUCCCUAAGCAGCCCACUUGCAACUGAAGAGCACUCCCCACAGCAAGAACCAGGACAGUCUCCUUUCCAAAGUGACAGGAGCCACCGCCAAGAUGACACAGCUGCUCCCACUAUGUAGCCCAGGCUGGCCUCGAACUCUCAGCAAUCCUGCCUCAGCCUCCCAAGUGCUAGGAUUACAGGCAUGGGCCACCACACCCAGCUAGAGAUGUAAGGUUUCUAUACGUCACACAAACUGGUAGAAUGAUGACACCAGCAAACUUGACACAGAUCCUGAUUGGCUGAUCCACUCCUCCUGCCCGAAGUCUGCUACUAUGAUCUGUAUGUUUGUGUCCUAGGAAAAUUCAUAUGCUAACAUGCUGAUCUCCAAGAACAUAGGAGCGCUGUCUGUCUGCAAAGCAGGAAGCAGGCUAGCACCACACCCAGAAUCUACCAGCACCUGGAUCCUCCAGAACCAUGAAAAAUAAUUUCCAACUAUUGAUAAGCAAAAAAAUAAAGAGCAUUUAAAUUUAAUCAAAACCAACAGAAACUUGUGUAUAAAUAUUUCUGAGACUCAAAUUAGUCUUUCAAAGUAACUGGAUUGUGGUGGCUGCUAACAAUAUAUUACAAACUACUGAAAUGAGUUUAAAUGGGUGAAUUGUAUAGAAUGAAUUAUAUUGUGAAUUAUAUCUCAAAAAAGCUAUUAUUCAAGGAGAAAAGGUAAUUGAAAUGUUAAAAGUAUUGUAAAAAAAUUAAUGAGAGGGCCGGGGAUUUAGCUCAGUGGUUCUGCCGCCCGCCUUGAAAGCCCGCCCCCCUCGAAAGCGAAAGGGCCCGAGUUCAAUCCCAGGUACCAAAAAAAAAAAAAA